CUUGAUAUGUGUGGCAUGGGCUCCUUCAGGUGCUAGUGGAUUCCUUAGGAUGGUGGUGUUGGCAUGAAAGGCAGGCUUGUAUCAUGAGGAAUGAUUGUCAUCUUGUAUGAUUCUUGGAGAUGGCAGGAAGCCCCUGGAAACACAUGGUGUGGACUCCUUCACAGGCUGUUGAAACCCUCCUGAAUGUGUUGUGGCCAUGGAAGUAAGGCCAGUGGCUACGAGGGACAGUCUUCAUCUUGGGAGAUCCCUAGAGAGGGCAGGGAGCCCCUUGACAUGUGGAAUGUGGUCUCCGUUGGGUGCUGGUGGAUCCCACAGGUGGUCUGGCAUGGAAGAAGUCCAGAGGCUGCGAUGGAUCAUCUUUGUCUUGGGAGAUUCCUGGAGAUGGUGGGGAGCCCCUGGGCACGUGCAGCAUAUGUGGCGUGGGCUUCUUCAGGUGCUGGUGGAUCCCUCAGGAUGCUUUUCAAGGUUUUUCUAUGAGUUCUGUUAAAGAGUCUGAAAAUGGAGCGUAGAAGACAUGCUUCGAUUUCCAGGAUGGUUGUGUUUUCCAGAGAGGCGAAGUUCAUUGUGGAACCAGCACAGAUUUUCAUACGAAAGUUAUUUCUUUUUAACCUCAAAAAGUGACAGAAUGGAGUGUAUCAUGAAAAAGUCUGACAUCAAAACCUCAAAAUGUGAUAUUGAUUGGGUGAGAUAGAAUUCCAUGGAAUUUCAUUGCCAAACCAGUGAAGUGCUAAUUUUGACAUUUGUACCAGCUAACGUAGCCGUGAAGAAACACACCAAUACACUUCUAAGGACAGCAUAGACCAAGAUCUAGGUUUCAUAUGGAUGAAUUUAUUCUUCCCUUUGAGGCAAGACAAGAAGGAAAGAAAGUAUUGGGAAUAAUGCUGCCCUCCCAUCCUCAAGGGCCAGUGGGAACUCUAAUAUUGAUUGGUUUUCACAGAAUUCCAUGGACUUUAACUGCUGAAGUAAUGAUGUGCUGAUUUUGUCAUUUGUACCAGCUAACUCAUCUGGGAGGCAACAAAACAAUACUCUCCUGAGGUUAAUGUGGACCAAAAACUAGAUUUCAUAUAAAAGAGUUUAUUCCUUCUACUUGAGGUGUGACAUGAAGGAAAGUAAUGGAAAUAAUUCUGCCCUCCCAUUCUCAAGGGCCAGGGGGAAUUCAAAUAUUGAACGGAAGUGAUUUUGGAAUUGCAUGGAAUUCUCACUGCCAUCCCAAAGAAAUGCUGAUCUUGUCACUCUUACCUGUUUCAUUCCCUGGGGCAGAACAAAAGGACGCACUCCAAAGAUGGGCAUGAACCAAGAACUGGGUUUCAUAUAAAAUAUUUUAUUCUGUCCUCUUGAGAUGUGACAUGAGAAAAGUAUUGAGAAUACUUCUAUCACCUCAUCUUCAAGAAUCCGUAGGAAUUCUCCCAUGGUGGACUUUAUGGUUAACCUGAACAGGUCUUGGAAAAAGGACUUUAAACAUUCUCCUGUUCUGUGGAAUAAGUAUACUUUUUUCUGGACAUACACGUUGUCAGUGAGUUCCAUGUGAUACUAGAGUUGCAUAGAUUUUUAACCUUUACGCCAAUGAAGAUCUGAGGCAAACAUUGCCCCUUUUUUAGAAGUUUGCAUUUGUCACUGAUAACUGUAAUAAUUGAUCUUGUUGAAAAGCCUGGGAAAUGAAGAUCUGAUACGUCACUUUUACCGGCUUCCUCAACUGAAAAAGAAUACAAUGAAACACGCUGAGAAUUUUUGUGCUUUCUCAGUCUUGCUGAUGAUCUUUCUAUGGGCCUGAAGCGUGGAGAGUGCCAGAGAGGCUGAUCCUCAGCAGUGUGGCAGAGGAAAGUUGGGUGCGACUAAGGGGUAUGCGGUGCCCAAAUGCCACUGGGUCCUCAGCAGUACCACCUGGUCAACAAAGACAAGGCACCUAGCCUCACAUGAAACUUUAUUCCUUUCCCUUUUGAGAUGUGACAUGAAA
rnacentral:antisense_RNA from 1 species